UUAAUUCGUAUUUUCUUUAAGCUCUCAACGGCAGUGUGCGUUAUUCUUCGCUAUAACAUGGCAAAAUUGGGGUUUUAGUAAGUAAUUUAGAAAAGUUGGGAAAGCGAAUUUACGGUAUGAAGUAUUUUAGAGCUUACGAAACUUCAAAACAUAUGAAGUGCUGUCAUUCAAUUUACCCAUUGUCUUAUACUCUAGACAUAAAUUAUAAUUAUCAGUCAUUUUAACCUGACAUUAAAAAGAUAAUAUUUGCAAUUCCGUACUACUAACUUUGUGCAAUAACAUGAUGCUAAUUUGCGAUCCCGUUCUGCUGAACCAAAUGAAGUAAAGUUUUUAAGCACUGUAGGCUG